GGAGAGGUGGCUCAGUGGUUAAGAGCACUGGAGGCUCUUCCAGAGGUCCUGAGUUCAAUUCCCAGCAACCACA
rnacentral:tRNA from 1 species